AUAAUUCACCCAAAGUAGAAUUUCCUUGUGGCAAAUUCCAUCCUUUUUCUGUUAGCAGCAGUGUUAUAAGUACACCACUUCUUUCACAAAGAGAAAAAUUAAUUCCCUUAUUAGACAUCUCUUUGUCAUUAACUGACAGUAACUUAUUCAAGCUCAACUUCCUGUUUGAUAAAAUAUAUGUUUUAUUUCUGUCUUUCUGCACUUUCUCAUAAAGACCCUCCCCUUUCGAUGAGCUAUAAAUUGAGCACAGAAACAGACAUGUUAUCUCAUUCACCUCCUGAUCAAAGAUGAAUCUGCCAAUCUCAGAUUUUCUUCUGUUCAUUCCUUUCACCGCAGGACACUCUCAGUACUGUUAUGAGUGCCUGACGGAUUAUUGUAUAGAAAAAACGGUGAGAUGUCCUAUUAGUUCUUCUGGGUGCAUGAGUUCAACAAUAGUAUUAGAAAUGGGUGAUAUUAGCUGUUCAGGGAGUGAAGACCACUGCAUUAAAGCAACAGCGAAUUCAAAGGCCGGUCAAUGGUUGUAAAAGGUUGUGCCUCAAAAUCAGUUUGUAAUACUCCAACAUCUACUGCAAUUAAGGACAUCUCAUGUUGUUAGGAAAACUUGUGUAAUGAUGCUAAGUGUCACUCAGAGCUUCCUGUUCCUCUGCUGUUCUCUGCUCUCCUUCAUCCUGCUGUACUGAAUCCAGCAGCUCUUCACGUUCAGACACGCUGUACAGAAUAUAGGCCUGUUCACACAAAGGUUGAUAACUAUAAAGAUAACGAUAUAGUUUUAAAACUCGUUCUUAGUAUUAAAGAAUAGCAGAGUCCAUACGAUAAAAACAUUGACACCUAAUCAGAAUCAAUCCUGUUAUCACAAGCUCGAGAAUUUAAUGCGAGAGAUGCGUAGAAUAAACAGUGUGGAGACUAAUAUAGUUAUCCUUAUAUUUAUCGUUCUUGAUGUGACAGGCCUUAUAGAGCUUGGCUGUGUACAAAUUCCAAAAUCGCAUACUCUAAUAGGUCAUUUUUGAAUAAGUAAUUACUUUGUAGCCUGUAUCCUCAUGGGAUAGUAAAGUGUCCAUCGAAUGCACACUUCAGAACCACAGCGAAAGUAGUAGGUACUUUUUUUCCCUACUCUUUUAUGAGUACUGUGAAUUCGGACAUACUUCCUUUGUCACAUACUGCUUUUUGCCUACUGUAUGGGAAGUAUGCGAUUUCAGAUAGUGCUGUCAAGUGAUUAAUCACGAUUAAUCGCGAUUAAUCACAUCCAAAACGUUUUUGGUUACAUAAUAUAUCUGUGUGUAUUGUGUAUAUUUAUUAUAUAUAUAUAAAAAACACACACAUACAGUAUAUAUUUUGAAAACAUUUACAUGUAUAUGGUUUUAUUCAUAACAUUAGUAUUAUAUAUAAAUAUAUUUAAUAUAUAAACAUAACAUAUUUUUCUUAAAUAUAUCGAUGCAUGUGUGUGUAUAUAUAUAUAUAUAUAUAUAUAUAAUUAAUAUAUACAGCGCACACACACAUAUAUUAUGUAAACAAAACAUUUUUAUUUUGGAUCACUAUUAAUCGUUUGACAGCACUACUUUAUACAACAGUUCUUGAGAGGAUAUUCACUAAUAUCGCCAUGAGGACUGUUAGGUUUGGCUGAGGGCAAAGUCUCUUUAUACUUUCAUAUCAACUUUAAUGCUGUAUUAGAACUCUUUGCACUUUUGACUAAAUUGCUUGGCAGCUUUUAUGAUGGCCGUUGUUGUUUAUUUAAUAUUAUUAAUCAAUAAAUAUUUGUUCUAUAGAAAUAAUAGUAGUAUUUAAUAAUAGUAUUUGGUAUUAACAAAAUGCUGUGUGUGUGUGGGUCUGUGUGUUUGUGAUGGUGAUUUCAGAUACGCCGUUAGAUGGCGACAAGACUGUGUUUAUGAGUUAGUCAGCAGUAAAGACUUUUAUAUUGAAAGAGAGUGAAACACUGUUGUAAAAAAAAGUUAUUUUUACUUUCAAUAACACCUUGUAAGAUGCAACCCAGCACUGUCCUCGGAAAUCACCCUUAACGUUACUAAGACAAAGAUUGUUCCUCAGUGGACAUUCAAACUAAUAACAGAUGCAGGUAAUCACACUAGCUCAGUCCAUAUUCUCUCAUAAUACUCAUACAACAUAUUAGUACAGUAAUACAGCUUUUAAUGAAGCAACAAAAUGUUCCUUUGUAUUUUACUUUUUAUAUGCUAAACCAGAUUUUUUAACAGAAAUAUUUUUUCUCUAUAUAAAAUGUUGAUAGAGCAAUAUGAUUAAGAGUAGAAUAGAGAAUAGAGUUUUGAUUAAAUACCUUUACCUUUACCCUACAUGUCAAUAGUGAUAUACAAUUUGUCGUCUUAAGCAAAUAGUGCUGUAAAAUAACUGUGAAACAUUUUCUUUUAAAAAGCAUGGUUUUACAUAGAUUAAGUAAAGCUAAGUCUACUUUUUGUCAUUGUAUGCGAUAUAUGUGUGUGUGUGUGUGUGAGAGAGAGAGAGAGAGAGAGAGAGAUUCUGUGGUUGUGUGGUUAUCACUGAUUAGGAAAAACACGAUGCUUCUUGCAAGUCGCUUCUGUGUGGCAAACAGUGUAAGAAUUGAGGGGGGGCUUGAGGGCUCCCGGACCUCAUGUAAGCAUUAAGGGACCCCCCCAUAACACUCAAAACAAUAUACGUGGGGGUUCCCUUGGUUUUUCAAUAAAACCAUAAUUCUUCAAACAUGAAACUAGUGAAAAUGAAAAUUUUCUCUCAUCUCUUCCUUGUGAUUUAUUCCCUAUCAAAGUUGGCUCAACUGUACAGUAGAGAUGUCAGUUAAAGGGUUAAACAAUAGCUAGACUGACUGUGCUCAUUUAGAGUGUGUUCUUUUACUGCGUGAUUCAGUCUAAUAAAAUGCAUUUAAAAUGUUCCCAAAAUUCAAGGUAUGGGGGCAGAAAAUGUAUAUUCAUAUCAUUUCAUAUAGUUAAUAUCACACGAAGAGAGACAUUUUUGUCACAAAAAUCACUAAUGUGAUAUUGAUUUUAUACAACAGUUCAAUAAACUAGAAGUUAACAUUAUCAUUUUUUGAAAAAUAAUUUUAGAUAUCAGCAUUCAACGUUUUAGGAUUAAAAUAUCAGACAUUAUUUAUACAUUUAAUGCAUUCAUGUCCUGCAUUUAACAAUGGGUAAAACCUCUGUCUGUGUUUUCUUUGCAUUGAAAAGAUGAAUUUUGUUGAUAAUGCUUUUUAUUUGUUUGGUAACAGUCUAAAUGUCUUAAUAUUUUAAUUGACUUCAUUGAUUAAGUAUAAGAAUUUGAUGCAAAAGAUAAUGCAUUCUUUUAGAAAAAAAAAAAAGAAUAGAAUAGGAAAAAGGAAAAAAUCACUUUAAACUUGUUGGAAAAUAUUAAUUUCUGCUGUGAACUGACCACACUGAAUAUGAAGAAUAUCAAGAACUAUCAAGAUCAAGAACAUGGCAGUCUUGCAGCGCAACACACUCAGCAAAAUACUGUCUGAUUAUCGUAUAAUUACCAAUAAAAUCUCUCAAAACAUUGAGAUAUAAUUUUUUGCCAAUAUCACAAAUACCUUGAAUCAUAUUUAGAUAAGGUUCUAUUUAUUCAUUUAUUUUUUCAAUUCAAACACUGGUGGUAAAUACUGAAAAUGUGAACCGUUUUGUUUUUAUGUCAUGUUACAAUUCAGAUAAAAAAGGUAUGUUUUCAAUUGUGCUUAUUUGCCUACAAUUUUUUUCUCGUCAUAAUAUUUAUGUAGUAUUUUGUUUCAUGUAUUUAAAUUACAUAUUUUUGAGUUCCUCAAAUCAUGAUACCAAAGAACAGCAGAACAACAAAAAAGCUUUAUUCAGUAAUGCAUAGCGUUACAUAAAAAUAUGUAUCAUUCUGUUUUUGUGGUGGUCUUUGCCCCAGCUGUAGAUUAUGAAGUGCAACUGGACUCACUGAAACAGGAAGUAGAAGAGGAGAGGAGAAAACAGCAGGUGGAAGCUUCCCUUGUACACUCCAUCUGAUCAAGACAAUAAGGAAAUUAGUGGGAUAAAAUGGAAAAUGGAAAUCAGCAAAUGAUCUUAUAAGGGUCUAUACCAGCUGCAUUGCAGAGGUCAGUGUCACAGCACUGGAUAGAUAAUCUCUCUCCAGUCUGUACCCGACCGGUCCCAGGGUAACAGAAAAGUGCACACCCUUUAGCUGUCACGGUGGAAUCUGCAAAAAGGACACAGUUCUUCAUUCAUAAAUUGAUAAUGAAAUAAUUCCAGAAAACAUAUAUAGAUAUUUGUACUUAAUAUUAUUUCUUUUAGUAGGCUAUUGACAGAUUUGAUCAGCAAUGACAUAUUACCACUUUCGCAAUAACUGUAAAUUUCCACAUCAACUAGACUUACCAGUAGCAGUUGAACAUUUGGAAU